CUCCAAAUAUUCAAAACUCCCUUCAAUCAUUUCAAAAAUACAAAUCUCCAAAUAUUCAAAACUCCCUUUUCUCUGAAAAUACAAACCCUCCGUUCCAACCCUCACUUGCUCCAUGGAUUCAAUCAAACACUCAGAUUUUCAUUGCUUCAUUCAAAUACUGGAACCACAAACGCUCAGUUUAAAGCUGAUAUGGAGUUUUGUAGUUUCGUCCUCAUCUGCCUUCCAUGUCUCAUGGUCUACCGCCCCUUAUUAACUUUUUUUUCUAGCGCACAUUCUCAUCGUCUCUCACCCAAAACAAGCUG